GAUUAUAUAGUUUAUUUUUGUUUAUUUUUGUUUAUUAUUUGUAUCAAAAUUAAUUUGUUGUUUUUGUAUAUUUUGUAGAUUAAAUUUUUUUAAUUAUAGUUAAUUUUUACUGUGAUGGAGUAUUUAUUAAUUUAUGGAAGUUAAUUUAUUUAUUGUACCUUGUGUAUCAGGGUUUAUUAAAUUAUAUUAUAUAUUUUUUAUUUCCCGAUUUUAAAGGAUUUAAAUAAAUAUUUUAGUUAUUGUUUUAUAAUUAUUAAUAAUAUUUAUUUGGUAGUGAUAUAUUAUUCGGCUUUAAUGGUAUCUGGUUUUUCAGGAAAUGAAUUUAAUUCAUAUAUUAUUAUUUAUAUUUCUAUUUUUAUAGUUUUAUAUUUUGUUAAUAUAAAUAUUAUGGGGGAUAAGCUCUUUAAUUUAUUUUUAUAAUUAUUAUUAAUUUUAAUUUUUGUUGGUUUUAUAUUAACUAUCAUUUUAAGUUUGUUAAAAUUUUAUUUUUACUUGUUUAUUAUUUAUUUAUUAUUUAGUUAUUUUAUUGAAAUUUUUUAUUAAAUUAUUAUUUGUUUGUAAUUAUGAUGAAAUUAGUAAUUUGUAUUUUUAUUUUGAUAAUAUUUAUUGUUGAAAUUUUAAAAGGAACUAGGCAAAUAUUAUUAUUCUCGCAUGUUUAUCAAAAACAUCUCUUCUUGUAUAGUAUAUAUGAGGUAUAGCCUGCCCACUGAAUAUUUUAAAGGGCCGCGGUAUUUUGACCGUGCAAAGGUAGCAUAAUCAUUAGUCCUUUAAUUGUGGACUGGAAUGAAUGGCUGAACGAGGAAUAUACUGUUUCUUAUUAUUUUAAUUGAAUUUAAUUUUUAAGUUAAAAAGCUUAAAUAUAUUUAUGGGACGAGAAGACCCUAUAGAGUUUAUAUAUAUCUAUUUAUUUAUUUUGUUUGUUUAUUAAUUUAUUAUUUAAUAUAUUUUGUUGGGGUGAUGGGAAGAUUUAAUUAACUCUUUUUUUAUUUAUACAUUUAUUUAUGAAUAAUUGAUCCAUUUUUGUUGAUUAUAAGAUUAAAUUACCUUAGGGAUAACAGCGUAAUCUUUUUUGAGAGUUCUUAUCGAUGAAUAGGUUUGCGACCUCGAUGUUGGAUUAAGGUUUAAUUUGGGUGUAGAAUUUCAAUUGUUUAGGUCUGUUCGACCUUUAAAAUCUUACAUGAUCUGAGUUCAGACCGGCGAGAGCCAGGUUGGUUUCUAUCUAUAAAAAAUUUUAUGUCUUAGUACGAGAGGACCAGAUAUUUGGAAUAAUUCUUAUUUAAUGAUUAUUAUUAAUUUUAUAU
rnacentral:rRNA from 1 species